CGCCUUGCCAGCCCGCUCAGAAACUUAAAGGAAGUUGACGGGGCCCGCACAAGCGGUGGAGUAUGUGGUUUAAUUCGAUGCAACGCGAAGAACCUUACCUGGUCUUGACAUCCCGGAGACCCUUAGGAAACUAGGGGGUGCUUCCAUCUGGAAGAAUCUGGAGACAGGUGCUGCAUGGCUGUCGUCAGCUCGUGUCGUGAGAUGUUGGGUUAAGUCCCGCAACGAGCGCAACCCUUGCCUUUAGUUGCCAGCAGUUCGGCUGGGCACUCUAAAGGGACUGCCGGUGUUAAACCGGAGGAAGGUGGGGAUGACGUCAAGUCCUCAUGGCCUUUAUGACCAGGGCUACACACGUACUACAAUGGCCGAUACAAAGGGCAGCGACACUGCGAGGUGAAGCCAAUCCCGUAAAAUCGGUCUCAGUCCGGAUUGGAGUCUGCAACUCGACUCCAUGAAGUUGGAAUCGCUAGUAAUCGUGGAUCAGCAUGCCACGGUGAAUACGUUCCCGGGCCUU
rnacentral:rRNA from 1 species